GAAAAUCCUAUUUUACUCUGUAAUGUAUGAGAUCGAUUUACCACUGUCCAAUCUCGUCCUUUGAGUUGUUGCAUAGCUGGAGAAACUGAUUCUAUGGUGUCUGUCGCCUGCUUCUCACACUUAUCAUCUCUAAACCCAUCAGUAACAUCUAAGUAUCAAGCUACUGUUAUAGGAGUUUGUCCAGAUUUGCCUGGAGUGUGAAGCACCUAAACAGAUGUUUUAUCCACAUAAAUCUGCGCUCGUUCAAAAUUUGAUAGCUGCACGGUUUCAUUAAGUUUUUCCUUACCCCAGUUGCUUCAUUAUCUCAACAAACUUGAGUACAUCCUCGAUCUGAAACACGAUCAACAAUAGGGUCUUUUAGAAAUCUGCUUUUCCCCCUCGCAAACCUGAGACACCCUAUUCACAGUUGUAGCUUUAGAACAUACUGGUUUUUCGAAUAAUUCAACAGGCACAACAGCUGGUUGAUCAUAUACAUGCACCAACUGUUGAUAUGGGCAACAGAGGGCCAUCACCAAUGGUUCCUUCACUAAUUGUUGGGUUUCUUAGUCUGCUCAUUUUAUGUCCAACAAUUUCUAGCAUAGGUGGAGGUGCCACCAUUGUUCUUCUAACCUUGUUAUUUCCUAUCUCCUUGACACUUGUUGUAUACUUGCUAUCAAUAUUUAUUCCUAUACAAAGUAUAUCAUCUGCUACCUAUUGGGAAGGCAGUAUUGGUUCUGUUAUAUAUGGUGGUGAAGGUUUGUUUGGGGCAGGGACCAUGCUCCUAGUUAUUCUCUUCUUCUUUUUGGACAAUCUGAUGGGAUAAGUUCUCUUUUUGCUUUUAAUUUUUUAUAGGCCAAAUACAUAAGCAAGCCCUUAAACUUGGCUCUAAUUUCCAUUUAGACACUUUAACUAGGGUCUGUACCUAUUUAGCACUCCAAUCCUAACAAAAUUGUGCCAAUUAAAUACAAUAGGCUGACAUGGCAAAAGGAGUGCAUUUCACAUCUCUUGCGCGCGUGAAUUGAUCCAAAAACAUAUCUUUAUUUUCCUAAAUAUCACUUUUUAAAACCAUAUCACCAUCACUAAGCCACCUCAACCAUCACCGGAAAAAACACACAUCACCUCAUCUGCGCCAUUGCAGACAACUACUGCCAGCUAGCAAAGUAACAUUCAACUUGUUUGGUUUAGUUCUAACAACCUUUCCGCAAAUUGAAGACCCCUCAUUUCAUCGUCAGCGAUGAACCUUUAUCCAUUCACCACCAUCUUUAACCAGCUUUUUCACCGGCAGACCACUCAACCCCAAAACGACAAAUUCAACCAGCUUUUUACACCGGCGUCCAAGUCAACUCUGUCAAGUGGAACCACACCAGUUAUUUCUCAUCCUAUGAAAUAUUUAUUCUUUACAUUAAUUUCAAGUAUUUACAGUAGUUUUAGAGGCCUUACAGUGAAUUCGUAAUUCCUCGUCGUGGUAUUUACAGAUAUUAUUUAGUAUUACUAUCAUCAUCUCACAACCAAUAAAAUUUCUUUUUUAAAUACUGAAGAUUAAAAAACACCAUCCAUCAACGGCGCCCACUUUAUUCUCCAUUCUUGGCUAUCCAAACACUCCAGAAUAGCGGCCCUUAUACUCUCUAUAUUGUGACAUCGGGAUUAUUGAAUUAAAUACAACAAGAAUUUAACGAUUCCAUUACCGCACAUGACCUUAAUUUUGUACCAAAUGGAGAUCGAAGAUAAGUACCAGGUGAUGAAUAGUGAUUAGGUGAAGAAAAGGGUUCUGUGAUGUGAAAUAAAUUUUAGAAGACAAAAAGAAAGUAGGUAAAGCUGUAGGUUUUGGACAGAGAUUUAGAAGAAAACAGGGGAAAGAUGAAAUGAAGAAGAGGAGGCAAGAAGAAAAAGCAAAUGCAGAAGAGUAAAAGGAAAGUAACGAAGAAGAUAGAUGAACGGCGGGGAAGGGUAUCCAAUGUGGAGAGAGCUUUGUUUUUAACUUCCACGUGGCUAUCAUUUAUUUGUCUGAUUUGCCACAUCCGAAGCAAUUGUUGUCACGCGCCUAGCUUAUUUUAUACAUAUUGUCUGAGGUGCUUAAUAGGCACAAUUUUGUUAGGGUUGGAGGGUUCAAUAGGUACAUGUCUUAGUUAGAGUGUCUAAAUGGAAAUUAGAGUCAAGUUUAAGGCCCUGCAUAAGUAUUUGGCCUUUUUAUAAUUAGUAAGAUGAUAAAAUUAUCACUUUUGUUAGAGAUGGAAUAAACAGAGCGUAUAGCAGAUUCUUUAGACAAACAGAGAAAAAUGUACACUCGUGACACUUCCUUAAUGUUUUGGAAUCUCAGUAAGAAAUUCCAAAACCUUUGUACCAUCUGUUGCCUUAGGAUCCUUCAAAGCAGUAAUAGUUUCAGGAGAUGAUUGAGCUCGAUUCCCAUUAGGAGUUGGAGCAUCAAGUACCUGCCCGACUCUUUUCUCCUUCCGAUCUGUUGAGAGUUGCAUCUUAGAUUGUUCAAGUUCCUUAGUGAUCAAUUGUCCAGCUGCAUUAGCGUAUUGCUCAGUAUCUAUAAUUAUAGCAGUCCUUUCGAUCAACCACAUGUGCUUUUGCAUUCUUCAAAACCUGAGAACCCCUUAGAGCUGGGGCAAGGACUUCACCUGCUAAAUAUUUGGGGGCUAGGGCAAGGACUUCAGCUGCUAAACCUUAGAGCCGCCCUAGCAAUGGAUUUGAAGAUUGCCUCAUCAGCGAAGAAAGAGGUUCUAGUCGAAAUUGUCAAGUUAGCUCAAAAGCGACAGAUGAAAGGAAGUAGCGGAGGGUGGAAAGAUUUUUUGAGAUCAUAUGACUAGAAGUUAGGGGUUAGCUUGAGUGACCCGUCCAAGAGAUCCGUUGAUGAUCUGCUUGCGUUUUUGAAGACGUUUAGUCAAGAGUAUGACAUAAAGCUUUUUAAAAAGGUGUUUCAAUGUUAUUCCAAUCGAGAUGCUGUAGAGAAGCUUCAGAAAAAGUCCCCGGAUAGUGAAUCCGCGAAACAUGUGAAGAGUAUAUUUUGGCUUUCUGGGACUGAUUCAUUUAACUUUUGAGCACCCUCAAUAUCCGAUAGAUUACUCAUUCCAUCACACGAGGAGGUUAGACUCAAUGAAUUUGUGAAUCCAAACAAACCAAUUGCAGAUUACAGAACUGAGAUUACUGGAAUAACCACUGGAGAUUUAGAUGGAGUUUCUUGUUCAUUGGCCGAUGUACAAAUGUCCAUGAAGAAGCUAUUAUCACAUGGAACCAUAUUGAUUGGCCACAGUUUACACAAUGACCUUCGAGCUUUGAAGAUAGAUCAUGCAAGAGUGAUUGACACUUCUUAUGUCUUCAAAUAUCGAGAUCAGCCUUCUAAUAGAAGACCUUCUUUAUGUAAUUUGUGUAAGUCUGUGUUAGGUUUUGAACUUCGAAAGAAGGACUCUCUACAUAAUUGUCUGGAUGAUGCAUGUACUGCGAUGAAACUUGUUCUUGCCAAGAUUGAAUGUGGAGUUGAUAGUAUCAUACCGUUAGUUCGUGAGGAGGUGCAAGAGCCCAAGGUGGCAAAGCUGCUUGUCCACAGAAUACCAGUGGUUGUUCAUAGCGAAGAGUUACACAAAGUUAUUCCUGGAGACAUUACCAUAGAAGUUAAGACUAAGGAUCGUUGGAUCACAUUCAGUACAUUCAGUGAUAUUCCUAUGUUGAUGUCAUAUCCUUGAUAUAAUAUUAAAAAUUUGAAGUCCAAAGAACUUAUCCUUGAAGAAAGUGUAGAGCAAGUUGAAGUAUAAGAGGUUUUUGGUUUGUGAGGGAUGAUUAAAGACAUUGUCUUAUGUACAUAUAUAUGCUGCAAUUUUACUUUCUCUUUUUAGGAAUUGUUAAAAAUGAUGUCUUACAAUUUGGAUUGGUUUCUGGUAAAUAUGAUACUUUACUUCAUUAUACUAACAAGAUAUCAAGUAUUUGGUUUA